AACGAACGCUGGCGGCAGGCCUAACACAUGCAAGUCGAGCGGAUGAGGAAAGCUUGCUUUUCGAUUCAGCGGCGGACGGGUGAGUAAUGCCUAGGAAUCUGCCUGUUAGUGGGGGAUAACUCGGGGAAACUCGGGCUAAUACCGCAUACGUCCUACGGGAGAAAGUGGGGGAUCUUCGGACCUCACGCUAACAGAUGAGCCUAGGUCGGAUUAGCUAGUAGGUGAGGUAAUGGCUCACCUAGGCGACGAUCCGUAACUGGUCUGAGAGGAUGAUCAGUCACACUGGAACUGAGACACGGUCCAGACUCCUACGGGAGGCAGCAGUGGGGAAUAUUGGGCAAUGGGCGAAAGCCUGAUCCAGCCAUGCCGCGUGUGUGAAGAAGGUCUUCGGAUUGUAAAGCACUUUAAGUUGGGAGGAAGGGUAUUCACCUAAUACGUGGGUACUUUGACGUUACCAACAGAAUAAGCACCGGCUAACUCUGUGCCAGCCGCCGCCGUAAUAC
rnacentral:rRNA from 1 species